rnacentral:rRNA from 1 species
GAUCCUGGCUCAGGAUGAACGCUGGCUACAGGCUUAACACAUGCAAGUCGAGGGGCAUCAGGGUGUAGCAAUAAACCGCUGGCGACCGGCGCACGGGUGAGUAACACGUAUCCAACCUGCCUCAUACUCGGGGAUAGCCUUUCGAAAGAAAGAUUAAUAUCCGAUAGCAUAUAUUUCCCGCAUGGGUUUUAUAUUAAAGAAAUUCGGUAUGAGAUGGGGAUGCGUUCCAUUAGUUUGUUGGCGGGG